GCAUCCACUGGGGUCUUGGAAUGUAUCCCCCAUGGAGAAGAGGGGACUACUGUACUUAAUGCUACUGAACUUAAAAAUGGUUAAAAUGGUCAUGAAGAACACUGAAGAAACGUCAAAGUGAACCAAAUCAUUGUUUUUAUUUUACAAAGGCAGAAAAUGAAACACCACUAGGAUUUUCAUUAAGCCAACUCAUACCCAGUUUCUACAAAUGAAAAUCAAGUCAAUCAUCUAAAAUUUCAUGAUUUCUUCCCAUCAAGAGGAUCUGGAGUCUUCUGUUCCCAUUAAAACUGAAUUUAUGGCAGUGCAAACCUGGGCCAGACUGGGUAUAAAAUGACAAAAGCAUGUUUAUAUUCUUAAAAAUUUCUGCAGAUUGCAUAGAAAGUUC
rnacentral:sRNA from 1 species